CAGGACACACGCUCCUGGCUUGUGGCUGUUUCUAUGGUUUUGGAGGUCUUGCAGGACAAGCUCCUUCCAGAUCAACCCAUGUUCCAGAACGUACUGCCAUGAGUUGGCGUAAAACCUACGUGGGGCACAGCCUGAUCUCAUCACCAGGACAUCUCAACCCCAUCCAGCUGGUGUUGGUCAGGGAAGAUCUCCAGCAGAGGCAGUUACUGGGAGAAGACAAUAUGCAUGCAGCCAUGAACCACACACAAGAACUCAAGGAAUUCACUAAUGCCUGGCUGGGUGUGCAACCAAGAGGGGGUGAAUAAUGGUAGAGAUAGAUGACAACAAUGGGCCAAAUCUGCCCUGACAUGAAUCUGCUUCAAUCCUGUUAAUGUUGGAGGAACUGUGGGGAGUCUAAAUUGGAGGAAAGUAUGAUCUCCAUCCAGUCCUAUUUCAAUGUCUGCUUUCUCUGAAGAUAAUGAGAUACAAGAGCACCAGCCACUGUAUGGAGUUACUCUCAAAUCAACAAUAAACAAAAAAUAGUUAAGUAAACUUACGUCUUUCUUUUAACACAGGAUCACACAUGCCUGUGUAAACUUAACUCAUCACUGACACAUUUAUAAGCAAGAAAUGGGGUGGUUUCGUUCCUCCUUGAUGACUUUGAAGACUGAAUUUGAGACCUCAGCUUAAGAAAAACACGGAUCUUUGUGCUAAAAUCUUAGCUCUGUUAUCUCAAAGCCACGAAGACAGAAAAGCUACAGUGAAACAGGACCUGAACAUGAG
rnacentral:lncRNA from 1 species